UACGAAGGGGGCUAGCGUUGCUCGGAAUCACUGGGCGUAAAGCGCACGUAGGCCGAUUGUUAAGUCAGGGGUGAAAUCCUGGAGCUCAACUCCAGAACUGCCUUUGAUACUGAGGAUCUUGAGUACGGGAGAGGUGAGUGGAACUGCGAGUGUAGAGGUGAAAUUCGUAGAUAUUCGCAAGAACACCAGUGGCGAAGGCGGCUCACUGGCCCGUAACUGACGCUGAGGCACGAAAGCGUGGGGAGCAAACAGG
rnacentral:rRNA from 1 species